AGAAAACUAUGGAUUAGAAUUUCAGGUAACUAUGAUACUAAUUUCACAUUUAACUUUAUCAGCUAAACAACUAAUGUUUGUUUCUUGUCACAACUUAGGUGUUAUAAAAGACAAGUUUUAAGCUCUGGAAAAUGUCAUUUCUUUAAGCAUGGAUAAAAAGAAACACUGGAAAAUAGAAGUAAAAUAUUUCAUCAUUUUUGAGGUUUUGCACUUUUACUCUCUGCUUCUUGGACCCUACUUAUUAUUGGCUCAUCUUUCUCUUUGAACCAUGUUUAUCUGCUUUGUUACUAACCUCCACUAACAUAAAAAGGCGAAGGUUGCAAAGCACCUGCCUUCACAAUGGCGUCUCUAGAAACAGAAGUACUAGGAGACAUUGGUCAUACCCUCGACAUCCAAAGUUUUUUGAAGUAAAUGUCUCCUGCAACAGAUAGCAUUAUGUAGUGAGAAUUUGUUAACCUCAUUCGCGGUGAACAUCUUAACUGCUAUCCGAACUACAUGUUUACAUUGUUAAGUAA
rnacentral:lncRNA from 1 species